GAUGAACGCUGGCGGCGUGCCUAACACAUGCAAGUCGAGCGAUUCUCUUCGGAGAAGAGCGGCGGACGGGUGAGUAACGCGUGGGUAACCUGCCUCAUACACAUGGAUAACAUACCGAAAGGUAUGCUAAUACAGGAUGAUAUAAGAGAUUCGCAUGGAUUUCUUAUCAAAGCUCCGGCGGUAUGAGAUGGACCCGCGUCUGAUUAGCUAGUUGGUAAGGUAAUGGCUUACCAAGGCGACGAUCAGUAGCCGACCUGAGAGGGUGAUCGGCCACAUUGGAACUGAGACACGGUCCAAACUCCUACGGGAGGCAGCAGUGGGGAAUAUUGCACAAUGGGCGAAAGCCUGAUGCAGCAACGCCGCGUGAGUGAUGAAGGCCUUCGGGUCGUAAAACUCUGUCCUCAAGGAAGAUAAUGACGGUACUUGAGGAGGAAGCCCCGGCUAACUACGUGCCAGCAGCCGCGGUAAUACGUAGGGGGCUAGCGUUAUCCGGAUUUACUGGGCGUAAAGGGUGCGUAGGUGGUUUCUUAAGUCAGGAGUGAAAGGCUACGGCUCAACCGUAGUAAGCUCUUGAAACUGGGAAACUUGAGUGCAGGAGAGGAAAGUGGAAUUCCUAGUGUAGCGGUGAAAUGCGUAGAUAUUAGGAGGAACACCAGUAGCGAAGGCGGCUUUCUGGACUGUAACUGACACUGAGGCACGAAAGCGUGGGGAGCAACAGGAUUAGAUACCCUGGUAGUCCAAGGGCGAUUCUGCANAUUUCAUCC
rnacentral:rRNA from 1 species